rnacentral:rRNA from 1 species
UACGGGGGGGGCAAGCGUUGUUCGGAAUUACUGGGCGUAAAGGGCUCGUAGGCGGCCAACUAAGUCAUACGUGAAAUCCCUCGGCUUAACCGGGGAACUGCGUCUGAUACUGGAUGGCUUGAGUUCGGGAGAGGGAUGCGGAAUUCCAGGUGUAGCGGUGAAAUGCGUAGAUAUCUGGAGGAACACCGGUGGCGAAGGCGGCAUCCUGGACCGAUACUGACGCUGACGGAGCGAAAGCCAGGGGAGCAAAACCGGGGA